AGUGAACGCUGGCGGUAGGCCUAACACAUGCAAGUCGAACGGCAGCACAGUAAGAGCUUGCUCUUACGGGUGGCGAGUGGCGGACGGGUGAGGAAUACAUCGGAAUCUACUUUUUCGUGGGGGAUAACGUAGGGAAACUUACGCUACUACCGCAUACGACCUACGGGUGAAAGCAGGGGAUCUUCGGACCUUGCGCGACUGAAUGAGCCGAUGUCGGAUUAGCUAGUUGGCGGGGUAAAGGCCCACCAAGGCGACGAUCCGUAGCUGGUCUGAGAGGAUGAUCAGCCACACUGGAACUGAGACACGGUCCAGACUCCUACGGGAGGCAGCAGUGGGGAAUAUUGGACAAUGGGCGCAAGCCUGAUCCAGCCAUGCCGCGUGGGUGAAGAAGGCCUUCGGGUUGUAAAGCCCUUUUGUUGGGAAAGAAAAGCAGCAGGUUAAUACCCCGCUGUUCUGACGGUACCCAAAGAAUAAGCACCGGCUAACUUCGUG
rnacentral:rRNA from 1 species